UAAUAUCAAGCAUGGGAAGGAGCGAAAAAUCAAAAUCUCUUUCUUCACACUUCUGGCGCGCAUACAAGAACCCAAUUGCGAGAACAGUCCCCUGCCUCCCUCACCAUUUAUGGCAUGCCACCGACUGCCUCCCCGCAGACUUCUGCCCAGGGCUCGAAAAUGGAAACUUGAUGGGAAAGUAAAUAUCAAGGAAGGCGAAAUUUGGGGUCCUUCGCUCCCAUCUGUUCGAUCCCUUCUCGGCCAAGGAAUGGAGCCAAGAAGUAGGAAAAGUUGGGGCAUUUCCGAGGUUUAAUGGGUGGGGGAGAAGCUCUCCCUAGCGGCAAUCUUAUCUCGGGAAGGCGAGAAGCCCCAAUUGAGAUCGAGAGCCGGUGAUCGGUUGGUCUUAGGCUUUUGGGGGGUUUUCUCGGGGAAGAAGGCGAAGAACAUAGAAAAGAGAAUAGAAAAGCAGGGUUCUUGUCGGGUUUAGGAGAGAGAAGUUGGGAUUUGGGUGCUUUUUUUUGGGGGGCAGAAAAGCUAGAAGAGCAGAGAAAAGGAGCGGAAAAGCAGGAUUUUUUUUUUUUUUUGAGUUUUUAGGGGGAGGAGAGAGAGAGAGAGAGAGAGAGAGAGAGAGAGAGAGGAG
rnacentral:lncRNA from 1 species